ACAUACGACCACAGGGUGUGGAGAACAGGGCUUCCCGUCCGCUCAGCCGUACUUAAGCCACACGCCGGGAGGUUAGUAGUUGGGUGGGUGACCACCAGCGA
rnacentral:rRNA from 1 species